rnacentral:rRNA from 1 species
AGACCCGAAACCCGGUGAUCUAGCCAUGGGCAGGUUGAAGGUUGGGUAACACUAACUGGAGGACCGAACCGACUAAUGUUGAAAAAUUAGCGGAUGACCUGUGGCUGGGGGUGAAAGGCCAAUCAAACCGGGAGAUAGCUGGUUCUCCCCGAAAGCUAUUUAGGUAGCGCCUCGUGAAUUCAUCUCCGGGGGUAGAGCACUGUUUCGGCUAGGGGGCCAUCCCGGCUUACCAACCCGAUGCAAACUGCGAAUACCGGAGAAUGUUAUCACGGGAGACACACGGCGGGUGCUAACGUCCGUCGUGAAGAGGGAAACAACCCAGACCGCCAGCUAAGGUCCCAAAGUCAUGGUUAAGUGGGAAACGAUGUGGGAAGGCCCAGACAGCCAGGAUGUUGGCUUAGAAGCAGCCAUCAUUUAAAGAAAGCGUAAUAGCUCACUGGUCGAGUCGGCCUGCGCGGAAGAUGUAACGGGGCUAAACCAUGCACCGAAGCUGCGGCAGCGACACUCAGGUGUUGUUGGGUAGGGGAGCGUUCUGUAAGCCUGCGAAGGUGGCCUGUGAGGGUUGCUGGAGGUAUCAGA